rnacentral:rRNA from 1 species
AACGAACGCUGGCGGCAUGCCUAACACAUGCAAGUCGAACGAGACCUUCGGGUCUAGUGGCGCACGGGUGCGUAACACGUGGGAAUCUGCCCUUCGGUUCGGAAUAACAGAGAGAAAUUUCUGCUAAUACCGGAUGAUGACGUAAGUCCAAAGAUUUAUCGCCGAAGGAUGAGCCCGCGUAGGAUUAGGUAGUUGGUGGGGUAAUGGCCCACCAAGCCGACGAUCCUUAGCUGGUCUGAGAGGAUGAUCAGCCACACUGGGACUGAGACACGGCUCAGACUCCUACGGGAGGCAGCAGUGGGGAAUAUUGGACAAUGGGCGAAAGCCUGAUCCAGCAAUGCCGCGUGAGUGAUGAAGGCCUUAGGGUUGUAAAGCUCUCUUACCAGGGAUGAUAAUGACAGUACCUGGAGAAUAAGCUCCGGCUAACUCCGUGCCAGCCGCCGCGGUAA